GGCAUGUAAGUCUAUAAUCAGGCUUAUUCCUUCAAUUAUAAUCAGUUUGAUUUACUAUUUUUAUGUCAUACUUUCUUCUUCUGCUUUUUUUUUUUUUUUUUAAACAAAGCUAAAGAGUCCAUAAUCUCAAGAGGUCUUCAGAAGCCAAGAAAGGGCCUGAUCUUUGCCCUGGGCCUAGCAAAGUAUAGGCAUAUCCUGACCAUUAUCAUAGCAGUGGCAACAAAACUUAGCCAUUAUUAAGCACAUAAUUGAUGGCUGAGAUAUGACUACCAUCUGUAUGAUUUAUCUCACUUAGUCUUUAUCAGAAGCCUAUGAAGUAGUGACGAUUAUCAUUCUCAUGUUGUAGAUAAGGAAACUGAGAUCCAUACAGGCUAAGUAACUUGCCUAAAGCCACAGAGCUAGGAAAUGAUGAGCCUGGCUCCAGUGCCCUCAUUAACAGAAGCCUCCUUAGCAGAAGUUCAGAAUCUGCUGGUGACCCUGAACUAAUUGUUGUCUCUUUUGUUACGUGCAUGUUUUCUUACUGAAUGAGGAGAGUAUUCUAAGCACCAUGGUGACAGCAGCAUUGAGUCUCCAGAGGAUCUGUAAGCCCGCACGGUAUUCUCCAUUCUGCAGUGGCCCCCUGGCAAAGUGACAGGGGUUAGGAUGAGUCCAGGAGGUAGCCUUGCUAUUAGUGGGAGAGCACCCUUAAUAUUCAUAUGCUCAGUUCCUUUGCAUAUCAUGGGGUGGGCCAUCCUUAACCAGAAGCAGAGCAUUGCUCCCUGAACUAGAACUUCCCAAUGAGAAACACCAGAGAUCCCUCCCUUCUGGAUCCCAAUGUCCUCCACAGCCAGACCGAGGAGGAUAUCCAAGGCACCAGAAGGCCUGUCAGCCUCAGAAAUCCCUGACUUUGAACCAUUUGGAAACUUGUGGCAAGAAGCAUGAUGGACAUCUUGAGAAGAAUGUUACAUACAAUAAAAUUAACAUUUCUUAAUCAGGUAACUUGCAAAGGGGUAAGAUUUUUAUAUCACAUAGGGUUUAAGCAAAUAACUCUUAACACUUCUGCGUAUGUAAAUAGCUAGAAAAAUUAUGAAAGCAUCUCAAUUAAAUGUCUUAUUCACUAUUCAGUUUGCCAGUUAUUUUUGAAUGCUUGACUAUUUUUAAUGGGGAAACAUAGACUAUGUAACACAUUGUUUUCCUUACAAUCGUUUUUAUUUUCCAUUUUCUCUCCACUGACCAAAAUAUUCCUUGAAUAAAGGUUUUGUCUUUCUAGCCCUUAAACA
rnacentral:lncRNA from 12 species